rnacentral:rRNA from 1 species
AACGAACGCUGGCGGCAGGCCUAACACAUGCAAGUCGAACGAAGUCUUCGGACUUAGUGGCGCACGGGUGAGUAACACGUGGGAAUAUACCUUUCGGUGGGGAAUAACAUCGGGAAACUGAUGCUAAUACCGCAUACGCCCUUCGGGGGAAAGAUUUAUCGCCGAAAGAUUAGCCCGCGUCCGAUUAGGUAGUUGGUGAGGUAACGGCUCACCAAGCCUGCGAUCGGUAGCUGGUCUGAGAGGAUGAUCAGCCACACUGGGACUGAGACACGGCCCAGACUCCUACGGGAGGCAGCAGUGGGGAAUAUUGGACAAUGGGCGCAAGCCUGAUCCAGCCAUGCCGCGUGAGUGAUGAAGGCCUUAGGGUUGUAAAGCUCUUUCGACGGGGACGAUGAUGACGGUACCCGUAGAAGAAGCCCCGGCUAACUUCGUGCCAGCAGCCGCGGUAA